rnacentral:rRNA from 1 species
UACGAAGGGUGCAAGCGUUAAUCGGAAUUACUGGGCGUAAAGGGUGCGUAGGCGGUUAGUUAAGUCUGUUGUGAAAUCCCCGGGCUCAACCUGGGAAUGGCAAUGGAUACUGGCUGGCUAGAGUACGGUAGAGGGUGGCGGAAUUCCUGGUGUAGCAGUGAAAUGCGUAGAUAUCAGGAGGAACAUCCGUGGCGAAGGCGGCCACCUGGACCAGUACUGACACUGAGGCACGAAAGCGUGGGGAGCAAACAGG